AUUGAACGCUGGCGGCAUGCCUUACACAUGCAAGUCGAACGGCAGCACGGGAGCAAUCCUGGUGGCGAGUGGCGAACGGGUGAGUAAUAUAUCGGAACGUGCCCAGUCGUGGGGAUAACGUAGCAAAAGCUACGCUAAUACCGCAUACGAUCUAUGGAUGAAAGCGGGGGAUCGCAAGACCUCGCGCGAUUGGAGCGGCCGAUAUCAGAUUAGGUAGUUGGUGAGGUAAAGGCUCACCAAGCCGACGAUCUGUAGCUGGUCUGAGAGGACGACCAGCCACACUGGGACUGAGACACGGCCCAGACUCCUACGGGAGGCAGCAGUGGGGAAUUUUGGACAAUGGGCGCAAGCCUGAUCCAGCAAUGCCGCGUGCAGGAUGAAGGCCUUCGGUUGUAACUGCUUUGUACGAACGAACGGUGAGCUCUAAUAC
rnacentral:rRNA from 1 species